rnacentral:misc_RNA from 1 species
GAUGAAGAACGUAGCGAAAUGCGAUAAGUAAUGUGGAUUGCAGAAUUCAGUGAAUCAUCGAAUCUUUGAACGCACAUUGCGCCCUCUGGUAUUCCGGGGGGCAUGCCUGUUCGAGCGUCAUUAUAACCACUCAAGCUCUCGCUUGGUAUUGGGGUUCGCGGUUCCGCGGCCCCUAAAAUCAGUGGCGGUGCCUGUCGGCUCUACGCGUAGUAAUACUCCUCGCGAUUGAGUCCGGUAGGUCUACUUGCCAGCAACCCCCAAUUUUUACAGGUUGACCUCGGAUCAGGUAGGGAUACCCGCUGAACUUAAGCAUAUCAAUAAGCGGAGGA